rnacentral:rRNA from 1 species
CCUACGGGUGGCAGCAGUGAGGAAUAUUGGUCAAUGGGCGCGAGCCUGAACCAGCCAAGUAGCGUGAAGGAUGACAGCCCUAUGGGUUUUAAACUUCUUUUAUAAGGGAAUAAAUUGCCCCACGUGUGGGGGUUUGUAUGUACCUUAUGAAUAAGCAUCGGCUAAUUCCGGGCCAGCAGCCGCGGUAAUACGGAAGAUGCCAACGUUAUCCGGAUUUAUUGGGUUUAAAGGGAGGGUAGGCGGUUCCAUAAGUCAGGGGUAAAAUCGUGCGGCUAAAACGUACCGUGCCGUUGAAACGGUGGGACUUGAGUAUGCGAGGGGUACAUGGAAUUCGUGGUGUAGCGGUGAAAUGCUUAGAUAUCACGAAGAACUCCGAUCGCGAAGGCAUUGUACCGGAGCAAGACUGACGCUGAGGCUCGAAAGUGCGGGUAUCAAACAGGAUUAGAUACCCGAGUAGUC